GUUCUGGAAGUCAGAAGGCCAACAAGUUCUCACGGGGCUAAAAUCAAGGUGUUGGCAAGGUGCAUUCCUUUCUGGAGGCUCCAGGGAACAAUCCACUAAUUCGCCUGAUGCAUCUUCUAGAGGGCAUUCACAUUCCUUGGCUUGUGGUUCCUUCUUGAAUCCCCAAAGCCAGCAUCAUUGCAUCUCUCUGACCACCCUUCCUUCCAUAGUCAUAUUUCCCUCUGACCACAGCCCGCCAUCAGAAUAUUCCAUGAUUCAUUUACUCUUUCAUUCAACAAACGUGGAGCCAGGCAGUGCAACAAUCAGGCAAAAAUCCUGGUGGAAAGCGGAAGACCGGCAAUGAACAAUAAAUUUGCCAUGGCCCCCCGGCUUAAAUGUCAGAUAACCUGAGCAUGCCCAGAUCAACCAAGUGUGCAAACAUGCUGGUACCUGUUCUCAGACUGAGAGCAAAGACUGAAUUAAGAAGUGGACACUGGGAAGAUGCAAUGGCUCACUACUGGAAUCCCAACACUUUGGGAGGUUGAGGCAGGAGAAUCACUAGAGCCUGGGAAUUUGAGACCAGCCUGGGCAACAGAGCAAGACCUAGUCUCUACAAAAUAAAAAAUAAAAACUUAACUGGUUGUGGUGGCACACAACUAUGGCCCCAGCUACUCAAGAGGCUGAGGCAAGAGCAUCAUUUGAGCCCAGGAGGUCAAGGCUGCUGUGAGCCAUGGUCAUGCCAUGUGCUCCAACCUGGGCAACAGAGCACCACCCUGUCUCAAAAGAAAAAGGAGGAGAAGGAGAGGGAGAAGAAGAAACAGAGGAUCCAAUCAGAUCAAUCCCUGGCAUUUCCCCAUGGCAGGACCCAGUCAGAUCAUCACCUCACUGAAAGAUCCAAUCAGAUCACACCUCAUUACCUUAUGCUUAUAAAACCUGACCCAACCCCAAACUCAGAGAGACAGAUUUGAGCACUUCCUCUUGUCUUCUUGCUAGUUGACUUGCAAUAAAUCUUUCCUUUUCUCAAAAGCCAGUGGCAUGAUGUUGGCUUCUAUGUGCCUUGGGCAGUGAGCCCAUUGAUUGCUCAUUAAUAAUGUAUCCUCAAAGAGAUCACAGGGAAAGGACUCCUCCCAGAGGAAUUGAAUGAUCAGGUUGAUACUUCCUGCCAACCCCUGGGCAGUUGGCUAACCUCAAGUGAGGAAGAACCACUUCAAGUGAGAGCAGGUCAGGCCGGAAGAGAUCUUUGCAGCAUUGCCUUUUCUGGGGGUCAUUGAGUGGCAAGAGGGAAAGGAAGGGAAUGGGAAAGACCUCCUCACCCUCUCCCCAGUUACUCUGAAAUCCAAGUUUGAGAAGUUGUGUUUUGCCUCAAUCCCAGGAUACAUCAAGCAGGACACUUGACCCAAACCCCAUUCAUCUUUUAGAGCAGAACCAAAUCAUUCCUUCUUCCAUUAAACCAAUAUUUGUUGAACUCCUAUCAUGUGUCAGGAGCUGAUCUUGAUUCUCAUAGUGGAGAAAACAAAGCUUCUACCCUCAUGGAGUUUAUAUUAUUUUUGAGGAUGGAGAUGAAAAAAAAAGCUAACCUAAUAAUGUCAGGCAGUCAUAAUUACUACAAAAACAGACAAAGAAGAAUGGGGUGUAGAGAGCCCAGGGGAUCUUUUGGAUAGAGUAGUUGGCAGUGGCUUCCUGAGGAGCUGACCUUUCAGCAGAGACCAGAGUGAAGUGAGAAAACGUGCCUUGGGGGACAGAUGUCUUGGGAAGGGAAACAGCAUAAAUGGAGUUCCUUGUGGAGAAUGUUUUUCAUGUAUUCAAGCAAGGAGACAGAGUGGUAGGAGAGGGAGCAGGAGAAGAGGAAAAGAGGUUGUAACAUAAUAAUUAUAUUUCUUAAAAUAGCCCUUGUCUAGGGUUUCUGGCACAGAGCUCCCAAAGCCUUUAGAAUUUCCUGAGUAACAGAGGUGAGAGGAAUGUCUUUUGCUGUUCUUAAGGAGCCCCUUUCACCCAUAUCUCAGUUUAUGCUAAUAAGACUACUCUUGGAGGACCCCUGGAUAGCUUCAAGAUGGGGGCUGGUCACCAGAAAGACUAAGCCUUUGUUAUAAGCUUGGAGUUUUCAACUAACCUCGGGGAGGGGAGAGAUGUUGGAGAUUGAGUCCAAUCUCCAAUGGCCAAUAAUUUACUCAAUCAUGUCUACAUAAUGAAAUCUCCAUAAAAACCCCUAAACAAUGAGUUGAGAGGCUUCCAAGUUUGCAAACACUUCCAUGUGCCAAGAGGAUGGUGCACCUCAACCCCGUGGAAACAGAGAUUCCUGCACUUGGGACCUCACCCUAUGUACCUCUUCAUCUGACUGUUCAUUUGCGUCCUUUAUAAUCAACUUUAAUAGUAAAUAGAAUGUUUGCAUGAGUUCUAUGAGUCAUUCUAGCAAAUUAUUGAACCUGAACCUGAGGCAGGGGGAGGGUGAUGGAAAUCCUCAACUUUGUAGCCAAGUUGGAAGAAAUGGAACUGGUCACUUGCAAUUGGCAUCUCAGAUGAGGGCAGUCUUGGGAGACCAAGCCCUUAAACCUUUGGAGUCAGAGACUUACUCCAGGUAGUUAAUGUCAAAAUUGAAUUGUAGGACACCCAGUUGGUGUCAGAGAAUUGGUUGGUUAGAGAUAAAAACCCUGUAAAUGUCGAGGGUGCCCAAGAACCAGACUGUGAAAGACCUUACAGGCUAUGAAGAGAAGUUUGGAUUCUAGUCUAAGUAAUUGCUUUUGUAUCAUUUGUAUUUUUGGAAUACAACUCAGUAACCAUCUCUUUACAUACACGAAUUCCUUUAUUUUCAACAUUCACAAUGACUCUUUGAGAUCAGUAUCAUCAUGCCCAUUUUACAAUUAAGAUAAAAGUAAGGCUCAGAAAUCAUGGGUAGCUUACACACGGUAUGCAAAUUGGAAUGGACAUUUGAAUUCAGUCCUGCCUGGCAAUGACCUGACAAGGACAGUGGCAGGGAUAAGGGCGGACAUCUCCCCUGGCUGCACAUGGCUUCUUUGAAAAGCAGCAAUAAGAAUGUGCACUGGUGAAGUUCACAACAGGAGGCCACUGCUCAGAGAUUUCCCCUGGAGUCUCUCUGAAUCUGCUGUGAUUCUGGGGGCUGCCCAAUUCGCAAAU
rnacentral:lncRNA from 10 species